rnacentral:tRNA from 1 species
AGGGGGACCGUGUGGGACGGGUCCUCGUGGGCUCAUAACCCAGAGGUCGCAGGUUCAAAUCCUGUCCCAGCUACCA